GUCUACGGCCAUACCACUCUGAAUGCACCAAAUCUCAUCUGAUCUCAGAAGCUAAGCAGGGUCAGGCCUGGUUAGUACUUGGAUGAGAGAAAAUGGACACCCUGCAGCCUUCCAGA
ensembl:rRNA 5S_rRNA 5S ribosomal RNA